rnacentral:sRNA from 1 species
ACUGGAUGUGGUGGCAUACGCCUGUAAUCCUAGCAACUUUGGAGGCUGAGACAGGAGGAUUGCAAGUUCGAGACCAGCCUCAGCAACUCAGCGAGACCCUGUCUCAA